AUUGAACGCUGGCGGCAGGCCUAUCACAUGCAAGUCGAGCGGAUGAAGGGAGCUUGCUUCUGGAUUCAGCGGCGGACGGGUGAGUAAUGCCUAGGAAUCUGCCUGGUAGUGGGGGAUAACGUCCGGAAACGGGCGCUAAUACCGCAUACGUCCUGCGGGAGAAAGUGGGGGAUCUUCGGACCCCACGCUAUCAGAUGAGCCUCGGUCGGAUUAGCUAGUUGGUGGGGUAACGGCCUACCAAGGCGACGAUCCGUAACUGGUCUGAGAGGAUGAUCAGUCACACUCGAACUGAGACACGGGCCAGACUCCGACGGGAGGCAGCAGUGGGGAAUAUUGGACGAUGGGCGAAAGCCGGAUCCAGCCAUGCCGCGUGUGUGAAGAAGGUCUUGGGAUUGGAAAGCACUUUAAGUUGGGAGGAAGGGCAGUAAGUUAAUACCUUGCUGUUUUGACGUUACCAACAGAAUAAGCACCGGCUAACUUCGUG
rnacentral:rRNA from 1 species